rnacentral:rRNA from 1 species
GACGAACGCUGGCGGCGUGCCUAAUACAUGCAAGUUGAGCGAUGAAGCUUGGUGCUUGCCCCAAUUUGAAGAGCAGCGAACGGGUGAGUAACGCGUGGGGAAUCUGCCUUUGAGCGGGGGACAACAUUUGGAAACGAAUGCUAAUACCGCAUAAUAACUUUAAACAUAAGUUUUAAGUUUGAAAGAUGCAAUUGCAUCACUCAAAGAUGAUCCCGCGUUGUAUUAGCUAGUUGGUGAGGUAAAGGCUCACCAAGGCGAUGAUACAUAGCCGACCUGAGAGGGUGAUCGGCCACAUUGGGACUGAGACACGGCCCAAACGCCUACGGGAGGCAGCAGUAGGGAAUCUUCGGCAAGGGACGAAAGUCUGACCGAGCAACGCCGCGGGAGGGAAGAAGGGUGUCGGAUCGUAAAACUCGGUUGGUAGAGAAGAAAGUUGGUGAGAGUGGAAAGCUCAUCAAGUGACGGUAACUACCCAGAAAGGGACGGCUAACUACGUG